rnacentral:lncRNA from 12 species
ACAAGUCAGUAGAAUCAGUGGAAACUGGAGGGACAGACAACUAACCAGAUGCAACUGUCUGCAUCAGGAUGAACCCAUCCUUAUCUCCAGGAGACAGAGCAGAGCUAGCACCUGAGGGAGGAAAGCCGGAGGUGUUUUUUAUCUCAGGAUUAGCAGCUAGGUUUUUAUCAAAAGAAUAAAUUAAUUCAUAAAUACAAUAUUCAGAAUAUACUAUGGAAAUAAUGAAGACUAAAGAAGGGG